GUAAUCACUUGUCUUCUAAAUAAAGACUAGUAUGAACGGCUAAAUGAGGACAAACCUGUCUCCUGUGACCAAUCAGUGAAACUGAUCUUUCAGUACAAAAGCUGAAAUAAGCCCAUAAGACGAGAAGACCCUGUGGAGCUUUAAACCAACUACUAAUAACCCUACCCUAGUAUGAGGUUUUGAGUUGGGGCGACUUUGGAGCAAAACACAACCUCCAAGCACAGAGGCACCCCUCUACUUAAGGCAAACAGGCCAAAACCAAUAGACGACCCAGUCACACUGGAUCAACGAACCAAGUUACCCCAGGGAUAACAGCGCCAUCUUCUUUAAGAGUCCAUAUCGACAAGAAGGUUUACGACCUCGAUGUUGGAUCAGGACACCCAAAUGGUGUAGCCGCUAUUAAAGGUUCGUUUGUUCAACGAUUAACAGU
rnacentral:rRNA from 1 species